UGGCCAAUGAGCUCCAGGCGUUCUC
rnacentral:piRNA from 1 species